UCUCACCUUCCCCUCCAAGGAGAAUUCAUCUCACUUCCUGAUGCUGUAGUUGACUAUUUUUUUUCUCUGUUCAUUAAAAUGUAUGUCUCAUGCUUUCAGAGCAUACUAGGACUCCAGUUAACCAAAAUGAGUUGGUGAACAAAAUGCCUUAAAGUCAUUCUCUUCACAGGUUCUAGGGCACAAUAGCAACCCAACCAUGUAAAAAUCCCUUCAUUCAUGGAAUUCACAUUCCACUGGAGAAGAUCGACAUUAAGGAAAAUGAACCAAAUAACAGGCUAGUGAUAAAUUCUAAAAAGAAAACUCAAACAGGAAACAGGAACAAAACCAGGAAAAUUCAAGGGAGUGUGUGAAGAUUUAUAUGGGGCCACCAAAGAAGACCUCACCUGAAGGUGACUUUGAAAAAUUACCAGAAAAAAAAAUGUGUACACGGUAACCAUGAAUAAAUGUGGAGAAGAGCA